GACUCCAGACGGAGCCUCGGGCUCGAGCCUUUUGUCUCCCCGCAGCUCCGAGGGUCCGGACGGCGACUGCGUCCGCCUCUCCCGCCCCUCCCAGAGCGCAGCCCGGCGGGGAACCAGCCCCGGGCCCGGAGCCGGGGCCGCAGGGCGUCCGGGGGCUUCAGAGUAGAGUUGAAUGAUUUACAGAAAGAAGCAGAUUAUGUAUUGCUGAGAAGUCCAUGUUUAUUUCAUCGGAAACAGUGAGUACAGAGGAAGUCAGCAAUAACAGGACAAGGAAGAGAAGCUGAUUAUGGACCACUGAACUUGAGGAAAAAGCCAUGACUACUAAGGAUGCUUCUCUGCCCCAAGAACAGAGCACAGAAGAAAUGAGUCCUACUGUAGAGCUCCUUCCUGUUGAAUUCCAGAGGUUCAUGGAAAUCCCAUCCGGAGAACUGAACCAAAGUAAUUUUUCCCUGACCACUUGAAGCUCUAGGGAGAGCUCAGGCAGGAGCUUUAAAUUUGGGAGUAAUCGGUGUGAAUGGUACUUUAAAGUAUGAAACUGUGAUCACUAAGGGAAUAAGUGUAGACAGAAAAGAGAUGGGAUCUUAUUACUGAGCCCUGUAGCUUCCAACACUUCGAGGUCAGGAAGAUGAAGAGGAACCAGCAAAGGAGACUGAGAAGAUGUGGCCAGUGAGGCAGGGGGAAGUUCAAAGUGUGGCAUCCUGGUAACCAAUUGAGGAAAGUGUUCUAAGGAGAAGG